UCCAGAGCACCCAGUGAAGGGCUUGG
rnacentral:piRNA from 1 species